ensembl:rRNA 5S_rRNA 5S ribosomal RNA
GUCUACGGCCAUACCACCCUGAAGGUGCCUGAUCUCAUCUGAUCUUGGAAGCUAAGCAGAGUUGAGCCUCGUUAGUACUUGGAUGGGAGACCACCUGGGAAUACCAGGUGCUACAGGCU